rnacentral:rRNA from 1 species
GAUGAACGCUGGCGGCGUGCCUAAUACAUGCAAGUCGAGCGAACGGACGAGAAGCUUGCUUCUCUGAUGUUAGCGGCGGACGGGUGAGUAACACGUGGAUAACCUACCUAUAAGACUGGGAUAACUUCGGGAAACCGGAGCUAAUACCGGAUAAUAUUUUGAACCGCAUGGUUCAAAAGUGAAAGACGGUCUUGCUGUCACUUAUAGAUGGAUCCGCGCCGCAUCAGCUAGUUGGUAAGGUAACGGCUUACCAAGGCAACGAUGCAUAGCCGACCUGAGAGGGUGAUCGGCCACACUGGAACUGAGACACGGUCCAGACUCCUACGGGAGGCAGCAGUAGGGAAUCUUCCGCAAUGGGCGAAAGCCUGACGGAGCAACGCCGCGUGAGUGAUGAAGGUCUUCGGAUCGUAAAACUCUGUUAUUAGGGAAGAACAUAUGUGUAAGUAACUGUGCACAUCUUGACGGUACCUAAUCAGAAAGCCACGGCUAACUACGUG